AGGAUUGUGCGUAGCUUGGGUGCAGAACUGUGGGGAGAAGCAGAAGGGGCACCAUUUCCAGCUUCCAUGUCCACCUUCCAACCGGAACAUGAUUGAAAAGCUUCCCUGUAGGAAACAUGGGUGGUCUGGGAGGCAAGAAAGAGAGCUGAGGGCCUGGGUCUGAACUGCUCACACUAUGUCCUCUCUUUUCCCACUUCAUGCUGGAAGCUGGACAUUGAGGAGACUCCUGGUCAGCAUCUGAGAGAAGAAGACAGUUAUCAGAGAAUCCGUCAACUGGGUAAUCUCAUUUGUCAUGGCAGCCUCCAGAGGCUCCAGGCUCCCCAUGUGGCCAGGCCUAUGAAAGAGAAGCCUUCUUUCCCAGUAUUUCAGCAAAACCUUGCCGCUGAUUGUGGGUAGGCUGACUUGGGUCAUAUGUUCACUCCAGGGCUCCUUGUGGCUAGGAGAACAGUGGCUCUGCACAGAUCGCGUGGCGUGUGCCUGGAAGACAGUACUUCCUCAAAGGAACACCUUUCUGGAAGGAAGGGCUUGGACGCUGGCCAGGUCUGUACAGUUAGGCCCACCAGCCCUCCAAAAGCCUUUCUCUUCAAGUGCUUCCCUUACUCUGCCAUUGCCCAUGCCUCAUCACCUUUGUGACCAAUCAGGGUAUGACAUCGUGCUUGAGACCAAAGCUUAUCAAACUACAGUGGGGCCUGACUCCAGGGCCCUCUUUCCUCCCCCACCUGUGUGUGCAAGAAUCCUCAUAAGCUCAAGUCCCUUAUACAAAAUAUCACGAUCUCAUGUAACUACCUACCUCCUCUUGCAUCCUUUAAAUCAUUUCUAGAUUAUUCAUGAUACUUAAUACAACAUAAAUGUGAUAUACACAGAUAUUGGGUUGUUUAAAAUACUGACAAGGAAAAGAAAUUCUUACU